rnacentral:sRNA from 1 species
CGCAGGUUCGAAUCCUGCACGACCCACCAAUAUACAAGGUGGUAACUGGUAGAGAACGUGAAGGUUAACGUUGCUUUAGCAACGGCCCGAAGGGCGAGGCGAAGCCGAGUCAUCCUGCACGACCCACCA